AUGGGGUAGCCUCGAUCCCAGGCCGAGUUUUCGCUUUUAUAACGGUUAGGCGAACAACUGGGCCUGGUACUAGUUGUCUGCGCAUGCGUCAGUCGUUCGUCAGAUUCUGACGAAUGGAUAUUCUCGUUCACUUUCGUGACAUUUAUAUUCGUGUACUAUCGUGUACUAGAAGUCAGUUCCCGUUUUAUCAUUAUUGGAAUCGAUUGGAAUGGCUCUUAGCUGAAGCUUCUCUCUUCUCUGAAGCUUAUUCUGAAGACUGAACAACAAGGGAAGAGGUAUAAACCUUUGUCAAGCUUGUUAAGGAGCAAUGGCUAAUAUCCAGCUAUCCCAACAGUGCUCCUCUUGGCUAUACUAACGGACGAGACUGGACAGUUUGAGACACAGGACUGGAGUAUGACCUGCUCAUUCGAGCGUUGCUGGGUAGCUCAGAGACAUCAAGAGAAUCUACGUUUUCUCAAGCAAUGAGUUACGAGUUGGGGCCUAGAAUCAGAGAAGUCCAGCAGCCUGCUAAAUCUUUUUGAAACGUAAUUUGAAGGCAUUCAAUCAUCUUGAAGUUGCCCUGGGUCACUGUAAUUGUGCUGCAGCACAACUGGCAACUCCCCAGGCCUUUGUGAAGCAGCUCCCUAUGUGCAUCUUUUGUGUACUCACUCUGUGCAUUUUCUGUGUACAAAUUUCCAUUAUUGAUUUAUUAAAUAUUUUUGCCGACCACAAA